CUGGGAUUCCCCACUCGUAGAGGUGGAAAUUCGUAGAUAUUAGGGAAGAACACCGGUGGCGAAGGCGGCGCUCUGGACCGAUACUGACGCUGAGGCGCGAAAGCGUGGGGAGCAAACAGGAUUAGAUACCCUGGUAGUCCACGCGGUAAACGAUGUGUGCUAGACGUUGGGGGGCCUAGCUCCCCGGUGUCGCCGCUAACGCUUUAAGCACACCGCCUGGGGAGUACGGCCGCAAGGUUAAAACUCAAAGGAAUUGACGGGGGCCCCCACAAG
rnacentral:rRNA from 1 species